rnacentral:rRNA from 1 species
GGACUGGUUGGAUGGUCUGCCCUUUGGGUAUGAACUGUCCUGGCUGGUUCUUACCUUCUGGAUACCGCCAUGCUUACUUUGUAAGUGUGGUUGGGAUUCCAGAACAUUUACCUUGAAAAAAUUAGAGUGUUCAAAGCAGGCCUUAGCCUGAAUACAUUAGCAUGGAAUAAUAAAAUAGGACUUUGGUUUUAUUUUGUUGGUUUCUAGGACUGAAGUA